rnacentral:rRNA from 1 species
UACGAAGGGGGCUAGCGUUGUUCGGAAUUACUGGGCGUAAAGCGCGUGUAGGCGGGUCUUUAAGUCAGGGGUGAAAUGCCAAGGCUCAACCUUGGAACUGCCUUUGAUACUGGAGAUCUUGAGUCCGGGAGAGGUGAGUGGAAUUGCGAGUGUAGAGGUGAAAUUCGUAGAUAUUCGCAAGAACACCAAGUGGCGAAGGCGGC